CCUACGGGAGGCAGCAGUAAGGAAUCUUCCGCAAUGGGCGAAAGCCUGACGGAGCAACGCCACGUGGGCGAUGAAGGCCUUCGGGUCGUAAAGCCCUUUUCUGUGGGACGAUAAUGACGGUACCACAGGAAUAAGCCACGGCUAACUACGUGCCAGCAGCCGCGGUAAUACGUAGGUGGCUAGCGUUAUCCGGAUUCACUGGGCGUAAAGAGCGCGUAGGCGGUGUGCUAAGUUGGACGUGAAAGCCCCCGGCUUAACCGGGGGAGGUCGUCCAAUACUGGUGCACUUGAGGGUGGACGGGGAAAGCGGAAUUCCCGGUGUAGUGGUGAAAUGCGUAGAUAUCGGGAGGAACGCCAGUGGCGAGGGCGGCUUUCUAGACCUCUCCUGACGAUGAGGCGCGAAAACGUGGGAAGCGAACGGGAUUAGAUACCUUUGUAGU
rnacentral:rRNA from 1 species